AAAGGCUAUGUAUUCUGAGCUCAUCUGGAUCAGAGGAGUCAGCACUGUCAUUUGUGUUUGGCAGAGACUGAAAGAUGUUCGUCUGAAGAUUUCAAAGCCCACUGCUGAUUUAAGGUCAUUCACAUUCAGCCAUGAAGCUGCUCUGAAGACACAGGAACUGCAUAGCUCCCUACUGGGAAUGUCAAGGGCUGUGAAAGGUCUAAGGUUUUAUCCUACUUGCAACCAACAAGCUAUGCAGCCACAGUUUUAUGGAUGCUGUCAAAAGACAUGACACUCCUGGGUUAUUUGCAACUUACCUGGCUAAGCUGAACUCCAGAAUUUGGACUAGAGGCUUCAGGAUGCUGGUGCAGUUCAAGUCUGGUCCACAUGUCUCCUCCUCCUUCGAGGGUCAUUGACUACUUUGUGUAUCUUCUUUUCAUGACAGUUCAUAUGAGUGCAAGAUGGCUCGAUAGACUUGCACACAAGUUUAAAGAUUUUUGUAUACACCUCAUUCCAUUGUUAAAGCAAGUUGCAUGGUCAAAUCUAACAUCUCUGGACAAGGACAUGCAUUCAUACCACUCUACUGCACUGCAAGCUCACGCAGAGGAGCAGAUCAUAAAACGUGAUUGAUGCAUGAUGAUGAUAAUGACCAACCUACCAUCAUGGACAUGACCGUAUGUUGAUACUAAGCCUCUUAGUAAAAUGAGCUAAAGAAACCAGAACUAUCUGCCUUCAGCUCAGCUGUCUGAUCAAAAACUUGAAAUCUGGAAACAGUGGUAUCUGGAAAACCUACUAAAAGUGGCUUUGGGAAAAUAUCAAUUAAUGUCAAUUUCAUUAAUUAUUCAGGGAAAUCCAAUCCAGUAAGCUAAAAUAUGAACAUAUGUGAACAUGUCAAUAAGAUUAUCUUUACUUUUUGAGUUCCUUUUCAGGAUUUAGAAUAAUUUUGUUAAAG
rnacentral:lncRNA from 10 species